rnacentral:rRNA from 1 species
GACGAACGCUGGCGGCGUGCUUAACACAUGCAAGUCGAACGGAAAGGCCCUGCUUUUGUGGGGUGCUCGAGUGGCGAACGGGUGAGUAACACGUGAGUAACCUGCCCUUGACUUUGGGAUAACUUCAGGAAACUGGGGCUAAUACCGGAUAGGAGCUCCUGCUGCAUGGUGGGGGUUGGAAAGUUUCGGCGGUUGGGGAUGGACUCGCGGCUUAUCAGCUUGUUGGUGGGGUAGUGGCUUACCAAGGCGUUGACGGGUAGCCGGCCUGAAAGGGUGACCGGCCACAUUGGGACUGAGAUACGGCCCAGACUCCUACGGGAGGCAGCAGUGGGGAAUAUUGCACAAUGGGCGGAAGCCUGAUGCAGCAACGCCGCGUGCGGGAUGACGGCCUUCGGGUUGUAAACCGCUUUCGCCUGUGACGAAGCGUGAGUGACGGUAAUGGGUAAAGAAGCACCGGCUAACUACGUG